GGUUCGCGUACGAUCACCGAAGCUAAGCAAUGUCGAGCCUGGUCAGUAACUAGAUGGGUGACUGCUUGGGAAUACCAGGUGCUGUAAG